rnacentral:rRNA from 2 species
ACCUUCGGGCCUCACACCAUCGGAUGUGCCCAGAUGGGAUUAGCUAGUAGGUGAGGUAAUGGCUCACCUAGGCGACGAUCCCUAGCUGGUCUGAGAGGAUGACCAGCCACACUGGAACUGAGACACGGUCCAGACUCCUACGGGAGGCAGCAGUGGGGAAUAUUGCACAAUGGGCGCAAGCCUGAUGCAGCCAUGCCGCGUGUGUGAAGAAGGCCUUCGGGUUGUAAAGCACUUUCAGCGAGGAGGAAGGGUUCAGUGUUAAUAGCACNGUUCAUUGACGUUACUCGCAGAAGAAGCACCGGCUAACUCCG